rnacentral:rRNA from 1 species
ACGAACGCUGGCGGCGUGCUUAACACAUGCAAGUCGUACGGUAAGGCCCUUUCGGGGGUACACGAGUGGCGAACGGGUGAGUAACACGUGAGUAACCUGCCCACAACUUUGGGAUAACGCUAGGAAACUGGUGCUAAUACUGGAUAUGUGCUCCUGCUGCAUGGUGGGGGUUGGAAAGCUCCGGCGGUUGUGGAUGGACUCGCGGCCUAUCAGCUUGUUGGUGGGGUAGUGGCCUACCAAGGCGGCGACGGGUAGCCGGCCUGAGAGGGUGACCGGCCACAUUGGGACUGAGAUACGGCCCAGACUCCUACGGGAGGCAGCAGUGGGGAAUAUUGCACAAUGGGCGCAAGCCUGAUGCAGCAACGCCGCGUGCGGGAUGACGGCCUUCGGGUUGGAAACCGCUUUCAGCAGGGACGAAGCUUUUUGUGACGGUACCUGCAGAAGAAGCACCGGCUAACUACGUG